UGCAGUGACAACUCUUUCACAUAGGGCCUU
rnacentral:piRNA from 1 species